UUUAACAUGUAGUCGUUUCCAUUCGUUUUUGUAAUUGAGCAGUUUUUACUUUGAACUCUAUUCCAGUUGGGGAAAAAUGAAGAAAAGCUGUUGUGGUAAUGUGAUCUAUUGAAAGAGGAAUUUAAUCACCUUCAAAAGUAAAGAGAAUCUUACAGAAAAGAAUGCCUCAAACACGUGCUGCCUAACAUCAGGAUAAAUGCCUUUAAACAAAGUGCAAGUGUAUGAUGGAAGAUGGCCAGGCAACUCGGUGAGGAACGUAUUUGGAAGUGAAGGUCAACGUGAUGGAGGAAGCAUGGCAUGCUGAGU